GAUGAACGCUAGCUACAGGCUUAACACAUGCAAGUCGAGGGGUAACAAGAGAAAAUCUUGCUUUUCUUGUUGACGACCGGCGCACGGGUGAGUAACGCGUAUCCAACCUGCCUAUAACUAGGGAAUAACCUUGCGAAAGUAAGACUAAUACCCUAUGAUUUCCUUUGAUGACAUCAGAUUAGGAAUAAAGAUUUAUCGGUUAUAGAUGGGGAUGCGUCUGAUUAGCUUGUUGGCGGGGUAACGGCCCACCAAGGCAACGAUCAGUAGGGGUUCUGAGAGGAAGGUCCCCCACAUUGGAACUAAGACACGGUCCAAACUCCUACGGGAGGCAGCAGUGAGGAAUAUUGGUCAAUGGGCGGAAGCCUGAACCAGCCAAGUAGCGUGCAGGAUGACGGCCCUAUGGGUUGUAAACUGCUUUUAUACAGGAAUAAAGUUAGCCACGUGUGGUUAUUUGUAGGUACUGUAUGAAUAAGGACCGGCUAAUUCCGUGCCAGCCGCCGCGGGUAA
rnacentral:rRNA from 1 species